rnacentral:rRNA from 1 species
GACGAACGCUGGCGGCGGGCUUAACACAUGCAAGUCGAACGGAAAGGCCCUGCUUUUGUGGGGUGCUCGAGUGGCGAACGGGUGAGUAACACGUGAGUAACCUGCCCUUCACUUUGGGGUGACUUCAGGAAACUAGGGCUAAUACCGGAUAGGAGCUCCUGCUGCAUGGUGGGGGUUGGAAAGUUUGGGCGGUUGGGGCUGGACGCGCGGCUUAUCAGCUUGCUGGUGGGGGAGUGGAUUACCAAGGCUUUGACGGGUAGCCGGCCUGAGAGGGUGACCGGCGACCUUGGGACUGCGAUACGGACCAGUCUGCUACGGGGGGCAGCAGUGGGGAGUAUUGCCCAAUGGGCGGACGCCUGAUGCAGCAACGCCGCGUGCGGGAUGACGGCCUUCGGGUUGUAAACCGCUUUCGCCUGUGACGAAGCGGGAGUGACGGUAAUGGGUAAAGAAGCACCGGCUAACUACGUG